UCAUUUUCUGGGCCAAAUUGUCAUGGUUACCCACAUAUUUCUUUCUAACAGAUUAAAUGUCUCCAAAAUUUUCUUCCAAUAAAUGAAAUGCUGAUUUGUCAAUACUUUCAAAGAAAUAUAUAGUAAUUUUGUGCUACUGAGAAAUUACACAAUAUAUUACUACUCUGAAAUGGAGGUAGUACCUGUCUUCAUAACAUGGACAACCAUCUGCCAGACUGUAUGGUAUGACACACCAAAAACCCUGCUUUAAAUUAUAUGAAAUUCUGAUAUGCUGAGUAGAUAUUAUACUGAACAGUUUCUUACAUAUCAUAUAGAUAUAUUAACUAAUAACAACAAACAUCCCCACAAGAAAUGGCAUAUGUACAAUGUCAUUUGAAAUGGGAAAGCACAAGGUAUAGGAAUCACAGAAGAUAUGAAAGAAAGCAUCUUAUUUCACAUAGCUGAGGCCAAAUGAUGGACAAGAAGACAUGACCAAGAAGGGAUACACUUUUUGGAAACAUCAUAACCUGGCAUGACAAUGCAAGGGCCUUCAAAUGAGGCACAGAGCAAUAUGUCAUCUCUAUCUUCUGGUUCAAAGAACAAGCCAAGCAAGAAACUAGCCUGAAGCAGCAGGUGACGUGUUCUCCCGAAUGUCAGUUCGCUUUCAGUACACUGCACAGAAUUACGUCCCAAAAGACACAACUCCUCAUAACCACCACUGCAAGUACCUCAAAUCCUAGAGUUUUUUUUUUUUUGGCAUUCUGGGAUUAACAAUAUUGGACAGUGUUUAAACAGAAUUUGAAAGGUACAAACUAUAAAUGCAAGAAAUGUCAGUAGACAGUGACAUACCAUAAUAAAGUGUAAAGAGGA